rnacentral:tRNA from 16 species
GAUGGCGCAGCGGUAUUCGAAUGCGGCUCGCAACCCCAAGGUCGCAGGUUCGAUUCCCG